GGCGCUUCCGCUCCGGGAAAGCGCAGCCGCCACCAUUUCUUUCGGUCUGGGAGGUGAGUUAUCCCUGCGCCCCCGCGACCCCUCCGAGGUUUUCUGGCUUGAGCGUGGUACUAGUCACUACCUGGCCGGCUGUCUUAGUACGGAGAGGUCGUGGCCGCCGGCGGAAGCCAAGAAUCGGAGAGCAGAAGCGCGGAAUCCCUCUGCUCUCCUCCCUGGCUUGCCAAGCAGCGCUGCUACUUCUGUCCGUACGAUCUAUGGCGAGCUGUUGAUUAUCCGUGCCCCUACUUGCAUCUUCUGUAAGAUUGCGAGAGAUAUGGUCACUACUGAUUAGGGUUGUGAUUAGAUUCAAGUGAGAUCACACGUGUCAGCAGCUUCGAAUACUGGCGGCACCACGGGUUGGCUUUUGCUAUUGAUGCAGUUCUUUUCCCAGGAGCAUCGUUUUGACUGGAUGCCCCAGGGAAGACACCCAGGAGCGAUGGCGUGGCCUUUCUGUCCGGAGACAGCUCCUUCCGAGCUUUGACUGAUCUCUUUCUUUAGGAAGCACUGAGUCACCCCGCGCUAGUGCCUCGGAAUGUCCGCUGCAGUUUAUACAGGAAACGUGAGACGAACACAGUCAUUCUGUCCCACCGCAUCGUUUUCAUCGCCCGUCUUGAAUCCGGAAGGGAGGGAAAGGAAGGACUUCCUGCCUCCUCAGAGCAUAGCCGCAGUUAUGCCUUCUCAGGACUCUGACUUUCCCCAGAAGGAACAUGAGAAAAUGACCGAGUUUCAGGUAAGUAAGGCAUUGCUUUCUGUCUUCUAAGGAUUUUAUUUCUCAGAGAUUAGGGACAUCUU
rnacentral:lncRNA from 1 species